AACGCAAAUGGCACUCUAUGGUAUUCCGUAGAGUACGUCUGUUUGAGCGUCGCGAACAUCUCCAUAAUUAGUUUUUUUAAAUUAAUUAAGGGUUUUGAGGUUGUCAUUGUAUUAUGACUCCCUUUAAAAUGAUUAGUGAUGACCUUAUGAAUGGGUUAAUACUGUGUGUUAUAAUGGAUUACAUCCAUCACCAGUCAGAGAGUAAUCUCGCCUUAGUAAUUUGUAGUGAUUGCUUCUAAUAGCCUUUAUUGGCAACCUAAUGAUCAAAUCGACCUCAAAUCAGAUGGGAUUACCCGCUGAACUUAA
rnacentral:misc_RNA from 1 species